rnacentral:rRNA from 1 species
AUUGAACGCUGGCGGCAUGCCUUACACAUGCAAGUCGAACGGCAGCACGGGAGUAAUCCUGGUGGCGAGUGGCGAACGGGUGAGUAAUGUAUCGGAACGUGCCCAGUCGUGGGGGAUAACGUAGCGAAAGCUACGCUAAUACCGCAUACGACCUAUGGAUGAAAGCGGGGGAUCGCAAGACCUCGCGCGAUUGGAGCGGCCGAUAUCAGAUUAGGUAGGUGGUGGGGUAAAGGCUCACCAAGCCGACGAUCUGUAGCUGGUCUGAGAGGACGACCAGCCACACUGGGACUGAGACACGGCCCAGACUCCUACGGGAGGCAGCAGUGGGGAAUUUUGGGCAAUGGGCGCAAGCCUGAUCCAGCAAUGCCGCGUGCAGGAUGAAGGCCUUCGGGUUGUAAACUGCUUUUGUACGGAACGAAACGGCGAGCUCUAAUACAGUUUGCUAUGACGGUACCGUAAGAAUAAGCACCGGCUAACUACGUGCCAGCCGCCGCCGUAA